rnacentral:rRNA from 1 species
GACGUGACUUCAGAGUUUGAUCCUGGCUCAGGAUGAACGCUAGCGGCAGGCCUAAUACAUGCAAGUCGAACGGGAUCCAGGGGAAAGCUUGCUUUCUUUGGUGAGAGUGGCGCACGGGUGCGUAACGCGUGAGCAACCUACCCAUGUCUGGGGGAUAGCCCCUCGAAAGAGGGAUUAAUACCGCAUAACAUUAUAGAUUCUCAUGGAUUUAUAAUCAAACUUUUUGGGACAUGGAUGGGCUCGCGUGACAUUAGCUAGUUGGUAAGGUAACGGCUUACCAAGGCGACGAUGUCUAGAGGCUCUGAGAGGAGAAUCCCCCACACUGGUACUGAGACACGGACCAG